rnacentral:misc_RNA from 1 species
GAUGAAGAACGCAGCGAAAUGCGAUAAGUAGUGUGAAUUGCAGAAUUCAGUGAAUCAUCGAAUCUUUGAACGCACAUUGCGCCCCUUGGUAUUCCAUGGGGCAUGCCUGUUCGAGCGUCAUUUGUACCUUCAAGCUCUGCUUGGUGUUGGGUGUUUGUCUCGCCUCUGCGUGUAGACUCGCCUCAAAACAAUUGGCAGCCGGCGUAUUGAUUUCGGAGCGCAGUACAUCUCGCGCUUUGCACUCAUAACGACGACGUCCAAAAGUACAUUUUUACACUCUUGACCUCGGAUCAGGUAGGGAUACCCGCUGAACUUAAGCAUAUCAAUAACGGAGA